CCUUGUUACCAGUUGCUACCAUUUAGUUGAGCACUCUGGUGAGACCGCCUCGGAUAACGGGGAGGAAGGCGGGGAUGACGUCAAGUCCUCAUGGCCUUUAUGUCCAGGGCUACACACGUGCUACAAUGGCCGGUACAAACCGUUGCAACCCUGCGAAGGUGAGCUAAUCGGAGAAAGCCGGCCUCAGUUCGGAUUGGAGUCUGCAACUCGACUCCAUGAAGCUGGAAUCGCUAGUAAUCGCGGAUCAGCAUGCCGCGGUGAAUACGUUCCCGGGCCUUGUACACACCGCCCGU
rnacentral:rRNA from 1 species